rnacentral:rRNA from 1 species
UCCACGCAGUAAACGAUGAAUGUUAGUCGUUGGGUCUCUAGUAGAUUCAGUGAUGCAGUUAACACAUUAAACAUUCCGCCUGGGGAGUACGGUCGCAAGAUUAAAACUCAAAGGAAUAGACGGGGACCCGCACAAGUGGUGGAGCAUGUGGUUUAAUUCGAAAAUACGCGAAGAACCUUACCUAGCCUUGACAUAUUAAAGAACACAGUAGAGAUACAGUGGUGCCUUAGGGAGCUUUAUUACAGGUGCUGCACGGCUGUCGUCAGCUCGUGUCGUGAGAUGUUGGGUUAAGUCCCGCAACGAGCGCAACCCUCGUCACUAGUUACUAACGGUUCGGCCGAGGACUCUAGUGAGACUGCC